CAUGCAUCAUACUUUCUGUUCCACUUAAGAAUCAUAGUCAUAAAGAAUAAUAAAGAAAACAAGGUUUAAAUAAUUCCUCUUUACCGCCGAAUACAACCAAACAACCAGCAGAGGUCAGCAGAGUCUUACAAAUACACCCCGUGUGUUCCAAACAAACGCUGCUAAUUCUCCAUUAUUAAAAUGCUCACCUCACAGUAAAUAGCUUGUAACAGACCGUUCUUUAAUCUACUGUAGUUUAUUAUAAUUCAUCUUCUAUAGCUGAAAUGGCACAGCGGCCUACAGACAAAGCAUAUUUCCUCAUGACAAACAUGACAUUGAGCAGGAAGCUGCCGCUCAGCUGAAACGGCAGACAGCAUGUUCCAGUUGUGGCGUGGGAAUAUUAUUUAUGGGGAAUCCCCAUCCUCAAAUAUCCCAUGAGGCCUUUCAGAUGAGUGGCGAGAUGUCUUCAGAUUUACAUCUACAUGUUCUAUAAUGUUUAUUAAUUCCUCAAGGAAGGUCUGAACUGCAACAGUAUACAAAUAUAGACAGUGCGGGACCGUAUGACAGCAAAAAAACUAAACACACACACAAAAAAAACCUGGCUCAUGUUUUCAUUAAUGUCACAACUGGUCAGUUUCACUUCUCUUUCCUGCUUGCUUCAUUUCCUCCAAAAAAAUAAAUAAAAAAAAUAAAAAAAUAGAGGAAGUGCCUGUGGCCUGAGACACAACUAACAUUUCAGAACCCAAGAGGCUUUUGUAAUCACGUUGUCAAACCUGUGUUUGAAAGGCUAGGAGGUUAUGUGUUUUUGUAGAAAAUCAGAGAAGAGCUGUAUUAUAGGACCAGGAAAAAUAGAGAAUUUGGAAAUCACAUGGUUUCCUAUUGAGAUUUCAGGAAGGAUCAUUCACAUAACUACACUAUUCUUUCCCAUAAAAGUUUUGGAUAUCCAGUAAUCCUUUUUUUUUAGGGUGUUGUUUUAAAUAACAAGGGUGGACAUAGAUUUCCCACUUUCUGGUGUUCUUGGAAACCUACCAGUUAUUUCUGCUGUGGGUGUUUGAGAGUCAGGGGAAAGACAUUUUUUCAUUGUGCUACUUGCAAAAGACAGUGAUUUAAGAACAUUGUCUAAGGACUUACUAAACAGUUGUGAAUAAAAAAAAAAGAAAA